rnacentral:rRNA from 1 species
CAGGCCUAACACAUGCAAGUCGUACGGUGGUAGCAAUACCAUAGUGGCGCACGGGUGCGUAACACGUAACUAACUUACGUAUAACUGGGGUAUAGCCCGCCGAAAGGCGGAUUAAUACCGCAUAAGCUGUGAGGGUGGCAUCACCUUUUUAGUAAAGAUUUAUUGGUUAUAGAUGGGUUUGCGGGUCAUUAGUUAGUUGGUUGGGUAACGGCUGACUAAGUCGACGAUGAGUAGGGGAGCUGAGAGGAUGGUCCCCCACACAAGGCACUGAGAUACGGGCCCGACUCGUACGGGAGGCAGCAGUAGGGAAUAUUGGGCAAUGGGCGAGAGCCUGACCCAGCCAUGCCGAGUGCAGGAAGAAGGCUUUAUGAGUCGUAAACUGCUUUGACCAGGGAAGAAUAAGGCGUACGUGUACGCUGAUGACGGUACCUGCAGAAUAAGCACCGGUUAACUCCGAGCCAGCAGCCGCGG